rnacentral:misc_RNA from 1 species
AUGAGAUCAACAUACAAUUUUAUGGGCCAAAUGACAAAAAAUAAUAGGGGGAAGAUAAGUCUGUUCAUCAAUCUAACUAUCUCAGAAUACUGGACAACAAUACAAAUAAAAAUAAUUGACUUCUAAUGAAUAAUACAUAAGUUGUUUUAAUACUCUGUUCUUAUUAGAAAGGAUCGUUUCUUCUUAAUCAUUGGGCGUCGCUUUUCUUUUGUCUAAAAUUCAUAAACCGGCUACCGUUUGCAUUGUAUGGACCCCUAUAGAUAACUCAAUGCUAAAAAUUCGUGCUUUUUGAAAA